rnacentral:ncRNA from 1 species
CCUGCUGUUCUGCCAGCAGUAGCCUACUCGGUCGUGCGUCGCCGGUAACGGCGGGGUGCGGAGCAUCGAGGACACCAACCGGGGUCGAGAGACCGGGUCCGAGCCGUGAGGCAGAGGCGACACCUGCAAGCAUCAAUGCGGGAGCCGGA